rnacentral:lncRNA from 1 species
CUCCACACACAACGACAGGAAUUUGUAUUGGGGCGUGCGUAGCACCGAUUCUUUGCCAGAUAUUUUUAGCCAAGUUUGACAACCUGCUUCAGGGCUCUCUUCAUGAUUCACGUGUUUGUCAUAUCUUUAGAUAUGUUGAUGAUUUCUUGAUCAUUUUAAAGCUAUCAUCUAAUGACACCGUCACACUG